GAGUUCUGGGCCGCACGCGCGCUACACUGACUGAGCCAGCGAGUACUUCCUUGACCGAAAGGUCCGGGUAAUCUUGUUAAACUCAGUCGUGCUGGGGAUAGAGCAUUGCAAUUAUUGCUCUUCAACGAGGAAUCCCUAGUAAGCGCAAGUCAUCAGCUUGCGUUGAUUACGUCCCUGCCCUUUGUACACACCGCCCGUCGCUACUACCGAUUGAAUGGCUCAGUGAGGCGUCCGGACUGGCCCAGAGAGGUGGGCAACUACCACUCAGGGCCGGAAAGCUCUCCAAACUCGGUCAUUUAGAGGAAGUAAAAGUCGUAACAAGGUCUCCGUUGGUGAACCAGCGGAGGGAUCAUUACCGAGUUUACAACUCCCAAACCCCUGUGAACAUACCUAUCGUUGCUUCGGCGGGAUCGCCCCGGCGCCUUCGGGCCCGGACCCAGGCGCCCGCCGGAGGACCCAAACUCUUGUAUUAUUUAUGUAUCUUCUGAGUAAACAAGCAAAUAAAUUAAAACUUUCAACAACGGAUCUCUUGGUUCUGGCAUCGAUGAAGAACGCAGCGAAAUGCGAUAAGUAAUGUGAAUUGCAGAAUUCCGUGAAUCAUCGAAUCUUUGAACGCACAUUGCGCCCGCCAGUAUUCUGGCGGGCAUGCCUGUUCGAGCGUCAUUUCAACCCUCAAGCCCCCGGGCUUGGUGUUGGGGCUCGGCCCGUCCCUAGCGGCGCGCGUCCCCGAAAUCUAGUGGCGGUCUCGCUGAACCUCCUCUGCGUAGUAGCUAACACCUCCAAUGGGGAACUCACGCGGCCACGCCGUUAAACCCCCCACCUUCUGAAGGGUGACCUCGGAUCAGGUAGGGAAUACCCGCUGAACUUAGCAUAUCAAUAAGCGGAGGGAAAAAAACCCACAGGGAUUGCCUAUUACGGCGAGUGAACGGCAACCGCUCAAAUUUGAAUUGG
rnacentral:rRNA from 1 species